rnacentral:rRNA from 1 species
UACGUAGGGUGCAAGCGUUGUCCGGAAUUAUUGGGCGUAAAGAGCUCGUAGGCGGUUUGUCGCGUCUGCUGUGAAAACUCGGGGCUUAACUCCGGGCCUGCAGUGGGUACGGGCAGACUAGAGUGCGGUAGGGGAGACUGGAAUUCCAGGUGUAGCGGUGAAAUGCGUAGAUAUCUGGAGGAAUACCGGUGGCGAAGGCGGCAUCCUGGACCAAUACUGACACUGAGGACGCGAAAGCCAGGGGAGACAACGGGG